GGUUUCCUGGCCCAAUGGUCAAGGCGCCUGCCUACGAUUUCGCUUGUCAGCAGGAGAUUGUGGGUUCAAGUCCCACGGAGACCU
rnacentral:tRNA from 1 species